GGGCGAGGAAGGGAGGGAGGAAUGAUUUUUAAAUAGACCUCCCUUGGUCGGAAACUCCUCACUCGUUCAUCCCGUGAUGAUUGUGUUUUCAGCCACCGUUUUCACGGACUUGAAUUAUGGGGAGUUUCAGGCCCUGAAGUGAACAUAAUUGUACACUUGCAAAGCCUAUCUAAAAACGAGCGCUGAGGGAUUUACGUUGUAAACUUCCCUUGCUUGGCUAAUCAUUUGGAACGUACUCCAAGAUGGCGAAGGGGAUUCCCCCAAGGGCAUAAGGCAAGGGUAUCCCAGGCCAUGGGACAUGAAGACAGAGCCCAUGUGGACCUUCAGCAUGUACUCCACACUCCCACGCAGGAUCUCAAUCUUCACCAGCUCCUGCAUCUCUGUCCACUUGACCUCUGAAACACAAGACUUGUUUUAUGGACUGGAUCUAGUAUUCACUAUUAAAGGCAUAGCCCAUUUGAUUUGCUUACAAGCAUAUAUGGAUGAAGGGAGCUGACACUUUAUGUAGACAUAUUUGUAAGUAUGCAUGUGUUUAAUGAGAGCCAUGAUGGUCCGUGAUGACUUCAGCAAAGCCUCAGAGUGUAUUCUCCACCCAUGUCAAACAGACAAUAAAUUGUUCCCAGCAUGCACAUCAGAAUGGAUAAAAGUUUUGAGUGGAGGCGGUUUGCCUUUCAAAGGUGCUCAUGUUGUGCCACCAUGGGCGCUCCAAACAGCCACUUUAAAUCUCCAUCAG